rnacentral:tRNA from 1 species
GGUGUGGCUUGGUGGUAGAGUGCAUGCCUAGCGCGCAUGAGGCCCUGGGUUCGAGCCCCAGUACC